CCCCCGCCGCCCGAACCGCUCCGCGGCUGCUUGCACAGGACAGAGGAGGACAGGAUAUAGCCUGCCCCUCUGAUUUAGUGCCACAGGCAUGGGGACUGAACGGAGUAAGACCCCUGUAGGACGGGAAGGUGCAAUUCAUCAGCUUCGUAAAGACGCUAUUAAGCCACCCUCUUGUUUUCUUGGAAUCCAAGGCUAUAACCUUCUUGGCCAGGUACCUGGCUUGGGUGAUGAGUAGCCUUGCCAGCUGAAUACAUUUUAAGGAUCCUGUAUUGACUGUUUCCAAUAUGGUGGAUCAAGAAUAUGUCCAGGAAAGACUUGUAAUCCCAAAGCCUGCCAACACUGAAUCGCUCCUGUGUCUGGAAUCUUACUGUGCUCUACUGAGACCUAAACAGCUAGAUGGCCUGUGUCACAAGAGUGGUUAAGCUACAGCUGUGUCAUCAGUAACACUUGUGUAAACUCAGACGGGCUAGGUUUUACUUUAUUGUCAAUACUCUCCAUUAAAAUGUAAAAAGUAGUCUCUGCCUUUCUCAGCAGCUCAGAAGGCUGAUCUCUGAGCUCCUUCAUUGGUCUCCCCUCUUAUUUGGCCUGCGUGAAUUCAGCCAAUAGGAUGUGCUGGGGUGGGGGACAUUUAUUCUCCAUCUGCGAGGGUUUGGCUGUGUUUUCUGUUGAAAAUAUCUCCUGUUGGUGCCUUUCCCAGGUCUUUAGUUCCCAGCCUCUGACUCAGAUAGAUCAGAGGGCCUAUGUUUCCUUGUUAAAGCACCUGUUAAAUUUCCUCACCGACAUCCAGGCUAAUUCUUUACUAGGUUUUCGGGCAUUUGUUCCACCUGACACAGUGCAACUGCCUAGCAUUCCUCUUACAGAGUGGUUUAUUUUAAUGGGAAUUACACUUUGGAAGCUUUGGCUCUCGGGAUUUCAGCUUUCAGAAUUUUAAUCUUUAGAAAAUGUAAUUUUGAGAAUUCUAGACUUUGUGGAUUCGUAUCUUUCCAAAUUUCAUCCCUGAGGAUUACAAUGUUGUGUUUGUGUGUUUGGGGAUUACAACCGGGCACCACAGAAACAGCUACUACCCUGCAGUACUGAAAACAGAUGGGAAAAGGGAACUUGUGGAACCCGAACGCUGUGAAGAGGGGCCACCAGUAGCUGGUGGAGAGAA
rnacentral:sRNA from 1 species